UACAAAUCCUCAGGAAUUUCAGGGGCAAGACCAUGAGCCUUCAGGAUGCGCAAAAUCUUGCUUCCGGUGACACUCUUAACCUGAGCAAUACCAUGAGAAUCACGGAGAAUGACGCCAAUCUGAGAAGGAGUAAGCCCCUUCUUUGCAAAUUUGCAAAUGUUCUCCUCAACAUCCUGGGGAGAGAUCUUGAGCCAACUUGGUGGAGUUCUCUUGUAAGGCAGAGCUGAAGCCGAAAUACCCUUACCGCGACUGUGCAUACGACCCAUGGUGCGGUGAUGAAGGCUGAUCAGUCCCUGCCUUAGUUUCCUCUGCAACGAGCCG
rnacentral:misc_RNA from 1 species